UCUCAGAGUUCUUCUCGGAGCUUGCAUUUUACGAUUGUUAUCAUAGCAUGUUUGUUGCUACCGCACCAAAGAUCAGAACCGAAUGCCCAUGAAUUUGUUUUAACUUAAACUAGGACUACAACAGCUAGUUGUGCAGCUGCUUUUUUAAAAGAAAUGUGUCAUCGCUCGUGCCGAUGAUGCCAGCAACCCGGAAGUAGCGCCCCAGUCUGAAACAAUGAUAGCUGGCCUCAAUGGCUUCAGGUAGGUAUCACAACAACGUGAGCUCAAACUAUGUAAAACGAGCGCCAUGGGGACAUUUAUAAAAAAAAAAAAAAAAAAAAAAAAAAAAACGAGCGCACACAAUUGAAAUGCUCGCUUUUUAAAAAAUAUGGCCAUUACGCUCUUUUCUACAUAGUUUAAGGUCACGUUGUUUUGAUAGCCACCUGACGCCAUAGUGAAAGAUGCUACGGAUUGGAGCCGAAUGAAGGGGGAGAGGUUGUGCUCCGCAACCCAAACUCUUGGGAUUAAAAAGAUAUUUCAAGUCAUCACUGAUGAGUUCCACAGCGAUGCACCAAAGAAAUUCCAAAUGUUGAAAGUUGGAUGGAUAACACCUUAAGGAAAAUAUCAAACAGAUCCUGAAGAGAAUGUGUCUUGAGAAACCAGGAGGGGACCCUGAGCGAUGUACGAAAUGCGGCCACGUCAUGCCUGAAAUAUGCGCCUGACAGAUGCCGUGGCAGUGGCAAGAAACAGGACGGGAAGAACCAGGAUGGACAGUAAAUAUGAGAGACACAUAGUUAAAGUUACAUAGUGGAAUAUUAUAUUUAAAUUUUAUUGUAACAUAAUUUAAGAAAAAAGUUAUUAGUUCUAAACGUUAAACAUGUAUUACUGUGGCCUGAAUAACCCAAUUGUUUGUAAUUGUGUGCAGUUUGA